rnacentral:miRNA from 1 species
CACACUUAUGUAUGUGUAUGUACAUAGUACACAUAUGUAUGUAUACAUACUUACUUUUGUAAAGUCAUAUAUACAUACACUCACAUAGAUUGUACA